UUCAGGCAAUAAUCGGGCAUUAUUUCAAUGGCAUUCAAUGCCAAAUAUCAACAGUCAUCUUCAACUUGGAUUCUUGGACAUCUUAUAAACAGAUCUUCAAACGUUUGUUCUGAUGAACUUAAAAGUUGUGGAUGUAAGUAUUUUUCUAUCAUUGAAUGAUUGAUUCUAGUAUACAAUAACUCAAAAAUGUUAAUUAGUAAUAGGAAGUGGAUAUUCGUCCGCCCAUAUCGAAAAACUCGUUAAAAAUAAAACAGCGUAAAUUUAAUUGAAUUUCAAGCGAAUCCUUCGUAGUGUAAUGGUUUAGGCACCCGUAUUGUGUGCGCCAAGUUCUGGGAUCGAUUCCUGCUCGCGCCACUAUUUUAUUAUUUUUUUUAUACUUUUUUUUUCUUCGUGAUUUUCGCUUACGCACCGCGUACGAAACGUAUAG